rnacentral:lncRNA from 1 species
GGGGAGGAGUAUUUGCAGGUCCUGCAUUGGUGGAGAGGCGAGGCGAGCAGGAUGCGGCUUGCUUUCUGGGCCUUGCAUUUCACAAAUUCCCUGGAGUGAGACUCAGGACAAUAUUAAAUCCAAUGAAUCACGCAGCUUUCAGGAGGGCAGGGCAGCACGCUGCAGAGGAGCACUGAAUGAUGGCUCGGCCUGGGGUCCCUGGCGGCAGCAGUGGCCGCACCAGGCACCGUGUUCUCAUUCAACAAAGACUCAGGUUAGUGAGGAAGACGGCUGUGCCAAAUCUCUCUUCACUCUUUAUCAAGUUUCCGGAUGUUGUGUAAUUCUUUUUUGCAGCCCUCAGUUCUGCAAGGAGCCUAGUGAAUGCUUCCAUCAGUGGACUAUGCAAGGCAUCUGGGCAAGCAGUUGCCUCAUGGUCUGUAUACAAUUUGUUGAUUUGAAAAUUACUCCCCGUGACUAUACCUUGCUCUCAGGUCAGGCUCAACUAACUCCAGGGAGUCUUACGGUCAGCACAGGGUACACAGGCGUGGAUGGGUUUACUUUGUGUUGUGCUUGCCUGGGCCUGAUCAAAACCUACCCUCCAGCCCCUGGGGAAUUCUGCUCUGCUCCUUACCACCUAUUGGCUUGCUUAUGUGAGAGCCCUGAAGGCCAUGCUCCCAAAAGUAGGCCUUGA